ensembl:lncRNA
GUUUAAAUUGCACACACGCAGCUGCCUUGCUGUAGUGUUACAGAUGUGAUACUGGUAUCCCAUGUGAGCCGGCUGGGUGUGCUGAGCCUGGUCCACCCCUCUGCUUGGGAUUUUCAAAUCCAGAGUGAUUGUUUAAAUUCUCAUUAUUACAGACUGAAGUACGGGCUUCUAGUUUCCCAAUUGAGUGACUCUUCACUGAGGUCUGAAAGCAGGCCCCAGGCUUUAGCUGUAGCAGCUAAUCCUUGCUACUGAAUAAUGGGUGACUUUACAUAGCAAAUAUGUUACAAGAUCUGAGGUCAGUGGAUGGGAAUGAAGAGCCAGAAAGAAGGUUUAUCACUUCUCUCUGCUUCCCAUGACAAGCCAAGUAGCAGGAGCCAAAUUUGAGCACCAUUACAGAGCAUGUACCAUAGUACUCACUUUCUGGUGAGUUACUGCUGUCAAAGUUCACAGUGCAGUAUUCUCAAGGAGUUUUUAGCUGUGGGAAUCAGACUAGUAGAUGUGGCCUUUCUGUUUUUAGACUUAAUUAGUUGGUGUGCAUUUACUUUUGCAGUCUUCUGGUACUGGCUGAAAAUGCAGGCAUGGUGCAGCAAAACACCAUGCUUGGGGUAUUUCUUCCCUUCAAAUAAUCAUUCUCCUGUUUGCCAGCAGCACUGUUUACAGCCUGAAGAUUGCAGACAGAUGUGUUCAUUCAGUGUGAAUUUCCAGGCAGUUUUCAACCUUUCCUUUAUUUUGAAGUGCCAUGGGAAAAAUAAUCCCUGUUUUUGUAUGCUGGUUUUCAUGUAUGCAGUUGCAAAUGUUGGGAGCCAAGAAUGCGAAGGAUCCAAACCUACAGUAAGUAGGUCAAUCUUGAAAUGCUGUCACGUGUUUGGGCUUUUGCUUUUUUUUUUUUCCCCUUUGGUGAGGCAGCAGAACGUAAGGGUUGAGUUAAGAGGCAGAAAACAGAAGUGCAACUGAGUCCUAUCUCCAGUUUUUUCUCAUUAGCGUCUAGAAAAUGAUAGACCUCAAAGUGACAUUCAUUAAGGAUGAGCUAACAAGCAAGUUCCAGUUGUGAGCCAGGUUCUAUACUGCUUACCUGUUGCAUUCUGAAACUACCACUGUUUUAUUCCAACAUAUUCAGGCAAGUGUGUUCCAGGACCUGAGUCAUGGUAUCCCAGGGAAGCCCGAGUGUUCCAUGCACAGGCCGAUCCCACGACCCCUGAGGAUGUCGGCACCGAUGGGAACGCAUCGCAGCCCUCCCCAGCAGCAGUCCCCACAGGGGCGCUCCCUGUGCACCUCAGAGGAGCCAAUGCUGUAAAUCCCAUCCUGGUGGUCUGUUGUCACACCUUGCCCCUGGGAUGAGGGUCUGUGAGAGGAUGCUGGAGCCCUGAUCCUGACACAGCGGUAACUGCACUGCAGGACAUGCUGAGCCCCGGAAAUUUGGGCUGGAAGGGCUCUUUGGGACUCUGCUCAGAGGCACUUGCAAGAUUCACAGACUGAUUGGAGGACAGCCCACCUCUGACCAUCUCUGUGUUUAUAAAUCCUGUUUGGACUAACGUGAUAUUCAGGGGAACGCAGGUCUUGACCACACACACUGUCAAUACAGGACCUUGGACUUGAACUUUGUGCCUCGGACUUCAGCUUUGUGAGCCCUCAGACAGCCCUUCUGCAGCUGCAUCAGGCCACACACAGUCACAGCUCUCAGCUGGGAGACGACAGGCACAAAGCUGGCACUGGCUCUGUGAUUACUUCUCUGCAAAGUCAAACAGGGCCAAAAAUAAAUGCUAGUGAAGGAAUAAACAGACGUGAAAAGAAGGCUUGGACACUUGGAGGACAAGACUGCUUUGUGUUCCCCAAAGCAAUAAGCCUCUUCACAAGGAGGUUACUCUUUCAGAAAAACACGGGUCCUGUGACACUGCCAAGGUCAGUAGGUGCCCAGCAGAGCAGGGAGCAUUCAAGGCAGACGUGGUUUGGGAAAGGGGCAUAUUUGCUCCCAUUGAAAGAGAGGAGAGAGGAGAGAAAUUUACAUUGCUCUGCCAUGUCAGCUCUUUCUACAGGGUUUGAACACGCACCAGUUUGGCAGCAGAAGGCAGCUUCCACCUAUCUCAGAUGGCAACGUAGCCCCAGCACUGUGGCUGUAUCACUCGCAUGCUGGCUUGGGAAGAGGGCAGUGCUGCUGCAGUUCUGCAGCUGAGGAGGCAGAAGUCCCUUGUGGACGUGGCUCUCUUCUUGUGCUGGUGCUGUACGAGCACUCUAAGCUAGGCCUCUGCUACCUGUCGGCGUGUCUCGGACCGGUCAGCUGCAGUCUGGAUGGGCUUUGCUUUCUGCAGGAAAUAGGCAGAAUUCAAAGCAAAUAGCUUGGUACAGACACCUUGCUUUCUGGUAAGCAAAAUUGGUUAGCAAAGUGCUGCAGUGAUCUCAGUGGGGGUAGGAAGCUUUGGAGUUCACUUUAGGGACUUAACUCAUUCUCCAUCCAGUGCAGUAUCUUUUGAAAUGUGACUUUUUAGGCUCUUUAUUGUCUCAGUUGGCUACAGAAUGAAAAUGCUGGGUAACAUUGAGCAAUGAUAAGAUGAUACAGAGUCUGUCUCCUGCACAAAGGGAAGUGCAGUUCUUUCGCUGUCUCUAAAGCACCAAGUUGUGAGUCAGCCAAAGCAUCUGAGGACUCUGGGUAAGAAACAUGAGCUUUUAAAGGCACCUCAUUAGGACUGAAUCUUCAGCACCGUCUGUAGUGACACACCAAAACAUACUCAUCUCAAAGAGGGCAAAUGUUGAGAAGUUAAGGGAGCUAAUUAGUGGAAUCAGCUGCACUGCAGAUCUGAGGAAUUGAAUGUGAUGGAACUUGGAUUCCAAAACCAGCUGAAACAUGCAGGAAGAUGAACCCUGACAGGAAAUGCUCCAACCCCAGUGGGAUAAAUAACCAGCCCCAAACACGUGGAGAGCAUUAACUGACAUGCAGAAGUUCUGAUUGGCAUGAGGGUAUUCUGCUGGCAUGCAGCUAAGGAUUGAAAUCAGAUGUCUGGAGAGGAACUGCUACAGAAUACGAUGCUCUGCUCUGCUCUGCUCUUUGAUGGAGGCCAUCACUCUUAUCACAGGGCUGACAAAGCAGCUUACCCUGCAGGUUCUGAACAGCCACCACUCCAGUGACGUGUUCAGUGCAGCAGUUCUGGACCUGCCUUAUGAGUUACUGCCACUGCCACAAGGAUGGCAUUGGAGAAGAGUGGUGGAGCAGAAGACUGAAGGCAGUAUUUGCCUCAGUCAUCCAAUUUGAAGCUGCUGGGAUGGGAAAGGCAGAGACAGGAUGAAAAAUGUCAAAAGUGAACUUGUGAAUUGGACUUGAAAAGGAAAUUAGAACAGAUGGCAGAGGGUUUCAGCUAGAGAAAUAAAAAGAGGAGAAACGUGGUCAUUAUGGAGUGAGAAUGGGGUUGAGAUUAAGACCCAUCCACAUAUGGUCUAAAAAUGAAUUAAAAACACUUUGUCCACAUUUUCAGUAGAGAUGAUCGUAUUGAGCAGUGGGACAAAGACAAGAUUUCUAGUGGGAAUAUACAUAAGGGAAUGAAAAUUAUCACAUGUAAGGUGGAAGGAAAAGCAUGAAGAAUUCGGUGUGCUCAGGUGAAGGUGCACUGGCAGAUUUCCAUCCCAGGAUUUGGCACAUUAAAUGAGUUCAGCUUAACCUGAUAUUUCUCUUUGAUGACUGAUUAUUUUUUUAGGCAAAUGAAAUACAGGUGAUUUACUCUAUCCAGAAUCUGAUAUUAUACCACAGGGGAAAUUACUCGUUGAAGUUGAGAUGAUGGGGAUUAGUGUGGAUGGUGAAUGCAAACCUGUUAAAGUGCAGAGGAAAGGGGAGCUCUGAGCAGAGAAGAAAUGCCAGACAGAGGCAGUCAGUAAGUGGAACUCCUCAGGAGUCAGUGUUGAGCUCACUCUUGCUUCUUUCAUUAACGAGUCUGGCACAGCAGUAGGAAUGUAGUAAAGAAAUCUGCUGAGGACACGGGCUUUGUUAAUACAGAGGAUGAUCGGAACAUCAAUCAGCAAUGAGUGAAUGACAGAAUUCAUCUGAAAUAGAAUAGAGAAAGUAUUAAGACAUGCAUUUAGAAAUUAAUAACUAGAAUAUCAUAUUACUCACUUGAAGAUGACAAAGGCAGGGGGGUGGAAAAAAAACCACAGAGAAUAAUUCGCUCCCAGGGAUGACUGUGAGCCACCAAUCUGAUAUGGAGAGGCAAACACAAUCCUAGAAGGUACAGGUUCACUCAUGUUCGAGGAAGAUUAGCAGGUACAGAGAAGGGCAUUGAGGAUGAUCAGAGGGUUUGGAACAAGAGGAGACUAGAAGAGUUUCAUUUGUUUAGUUUUUCAAAACAAAGGCUAGAGGAGAUAGGAUUGUUUUCAGUAAAUAUAUCUGAUAGGUAAAGAUCAGAGAAAAAAGAGAAUUGUUUAAACUACAUUAUGAUGCUGGCACAAGAACAAAUGAUAUUAAGGCUGAAAAUUUUAAAUGAAGUGCUGGGACAACCUGCCAAAAAGCACGAUAUGAUGUAAUUGAAUGUAACAGUAGGAGGCUGGAUCAGUAAUCCAGAGCCCUGUGUUCCUAGAUAACUUCUUUUUUGGGAAGGGAAUUAGCCACAGCAGCUAAAUGCAGGGAAUGGAAAGAACAGCCCGGACCAACACCACAAAGGUGUUCCCAGUGAUGGAGCAGUGCGGUGUGUGGUGCCUAUAUGGAGUGGUUUCUUUCUUAAUAAGAAGACCAGGCCGCAGUGUGUGCUGCUGUACAGCUAAGUGCCAGCUGUACCAGAAAAGCAGUGUCACUAAAACAUUUCGCUGUGGGUUUGAGCUCUUGCUUUUUACCCACAGUGUGACCGUCUUUCACCUCCCAAACCUAAAUAUACAUGGCUGAAAGCACACCUUCAGGAAUGGCUGUCCCAGCACUGCCAGUGGCUCGCAGGCUGUGCAGAGGCUGGAAGCAGGCAGUGUGCUCGGCUCCCCGCUCUGUCCCCUGGAGCUUUCCUUUUCUGAUGCCCUGUUAGGCAGAAUGCCCACUCACGGGGAAUACUGCUGUACCUCUUUGAAGAGAAGCAGUAAAAAGGCUUUUGGCAAAGCAGCCUCUAACCGGCACCUCUUAAAUGAAGCUGGCUGACAUACACGCGUGCUGCAGUGAUGCCCCUGCAGUGGGAAGAGCCCCCUGACCUCAGGGCACGGGACCUGCUGGUCCUGCAGCCCCUCUGGAGCAGGGGCUGAGCAGCAGCUGGUGCUGGGGGCUGGGCUGCUCUGCUCUCCCACAGGUCUGCACCAGGUGCCCCAUGCUGCUCAUCCGAGGGCAAGAAAAUGCAGCUGGCCAGAGUCCUUGGGUUUGGAAGCAGCCCCACCAGCUAACGGGAGGGCCUUCCCUUUUCCUCCCCCCAAGAGAACUGGCAAAUUCAGCUCUUCAAUGGCACGAGCUCAUCUCAGCCUUGCCUAUAAAUAGAUAAAUGAGAUUCCUCCAGUCCCAGUGAGCAAUUCUGACAUCCUCCCUUUGCCUCGCAGAGAGCUGAGUCACAGGCACUCUGCACUCCAGUCCCUGCAUUACUUACAUGGUCUCAAAGGAAAUUUUAACACAUCCAAUGAAUCAUCAGGGAUUGGAUCAUGUUUAAAGUUAUUCCAGUGGCAUUUCCCUUCUAUUGUAGCAAGUCUGCCAACACCUAAAACUUUAGCUAAUCUGGACUCAAAAUGCAUUGAGGAAAUAGCAUGUUGACAUACACAGCUACUAAUACAAAUAACUUAAAAAGUUCUCUUAAAUCUGCAUCAACAAAUAAAUGACCCUUAGUGGGUUCCUUUAGCACUUUGGUCCUGCUAAUUUUGUCAGACUGCUUUGUUUUGUAGCUGCUUAUUUAAAAGAACUCAAAAGUUGGAAAUGCUUUAAUAUUCAGUCUUUAGGUCCCUAAUUUAAUCUCCUGCAGGUUUCCUGCCAAAGUAUUAUUUGCACUGAGAUGGAGCUUGCAGCCCUGUGCUCGGCCUUUCACAGAAAUGCACACAUUCCUGUUCUUACCCACGAUAAAAAUAAAAUGCCUGCAAAGCAAGGACAAAACCAGAGUGGUGUUAAGUAUAAAACACACAGCGUUAUCUGCCGGCUGCACGAGGCUCUGAGCUCCAGCAUGAAGCUGUAUCUCCUGAUGGGGCACUGGCACUUGUUACCCUUCCUUCUCCCACCCGGGACAGUGUAGUCUGAUUGGCUUAAAGCAACACAGCAUCUGCAAUCAGAGGAGGUCUCCUUCUGCCUCAGAAACAACUGAAGAGUGCAAAACUCUCCAGCAGAAUUUGGGAGCUGUGAAACAAAUAGAAACAGAUUUUGCUCUGUUGGUUUUCUGGCUUGCCUUGCUGUAUCUUAGAACUUAUUGGGACUUUCCACUCAUCCAGAAUCCGGUUACCAGACUCUCCAUUUGAAUGAACAAGAAAUGCUAACAUUGGCUGGCUUGCUGCUGUGCUUUAGUACUCUGAGACCUGAAACCUGGCUGGUUCUUUUGAUAACCCUAGGAAUGCUGUGUCUUAUUCAAAUCACAUUUUUCUAACACCUUUUCAUAAAGCAACUCUCUGCCUGUGUGUAGACUGUUAACAAGCAUUUGUGCAACACAUUCCAGCAUGAGCUGCAGUCUCUCCAUGAGAUGAUGUGGCUCCUACACUGAGGCUCACUGGUUUAUUUAUCAGCUUAGCACAGCACAGCUUUGCUUGACAGUGUUCUGCCAGCUGUUACUAUACAAUAGCACUGGGAAAGAAGAUCAGUUUUGGCUCUCAGUGGAAUUGGCCAUAAUUCAGCUACCUGUUGACAAAUUAUGAUUUAUUUAACAGCAUAAACUGUAAUAUUUUUAUAGCUGAUAGUUUUCACCCUUCCCUGCAGCUGGAAAAAAAAAAAAAAAAAAAAAGAAGAGGAACUCCCAGAAGUUCCUCACUUGAAACUGAAGUUUGAUUGUAGUAACGCCUUGUACUGCUGUUUCUGUGCAGGAAAAAUGACAUCUCUAAUGGACAAAUCAGUGGUGUCUGUGUGAUGCUGGAAGAGGGCAGGUGCGUUGAUAGGGAUCACACAGCUUCUUGCUUGGCCUCCUUCCUGCAGCAGUAAUCUUUGCCAUGCAGUGAAGGGAUGGAGGAUGGCUGGUGGGGCCUCCCGAGUGGGGCUGUGCUCUGAGCUGCCAUGGGGACAAGGUGCAGUCCAGGCCUCCGAAUUCCCUGUAAUGCAGCAUGCAGGAUGUGACCUCAGGAGUGCUGGGGGUCCUGCUAAGGAGAGCCGCCUUCACAGAAGGCAAACGAGGUAAGUCAAAAAAAAAGGGGCUUUAGAAUAAUUGUGUAGAUGGCCUUGUUCCACCUGCAGCAGUGAGCUUAGUGUAACUUCUCAGCCCGCACUCCUGCCUGUGCUGGGAGUGGGACAGUGGUGUGGCUGCACCAGGUUGGUAAGGGCUACUUCCAUGUACUGCAUGCUUCCGAAAUAGGGGCCAGUAAUUCAAGCCAAAUGACACAGCAGAUCCACAACAUAAAAAACAACAAUUAACCUACCAAUUUUUGCUCAUGCCUUUAAAAUACGCUCCGCCAAACUGUACUUCAUGACUAUCUCUCAGGAGGGCCAGAUUCUGUAGGACAUGUCCUCAGCUUGCAGAAAGAGAUCAUUAAUCAUUAGUGUGCCCUGGUCCCUGGCUAUUUUAAUCACUGGUGAAAUACUCAUGCAGUUCCCACUCCUAAAAAUGGUAUUUGACUCCAAUGCACAUGAUUUCCUUUGGCUUCCUUUCCCCAUUUAAGAGCAAGCCAUAACAGCCUGGAAGUACAAGCACUAGAAUCCGUAGAUUUGCUUCUCAUUCGCCACAGAGCCAAAGCUUGGUACUGCAGGUAGCAUCUGUGCUGACCAAAAGAUCAGAAUAUAUUGUGACUGGCUGUCUGUGACAGCCCUUCUGCCUACAGACUGAUGGUCAAACCCUGUCCUUUGUCUGUGUGCUUGAGACUCAUGACAUCUAUUCAUUUUGCUGAGGUUUUAUUUUGUUUUCUUUGUCUUUAUAGAGAACCAAAUCUCAACCAGUACCAACUGGGCCCCAGAACAGAGUCCUGCUCUUGGGAAGGCUGUCCUGGUUGUCCCACCAAUUCUCUUAAUUAAACUUGAUCGACUCUGGCCUAAUUAAAAAGACACAGACCAGCAGUAAUCUGCUAAAACUAAAGGUUGCUUGGCAGCUUGGAUUUCUAGUUUUGCUGAAAGUAGUUUAAAACAUGAAGAAAGUUUGCCUUAAUUACCAUAUUUCCUCCAUGAAACAGCUAUUCAUCGAAAACUACAGCCAAGUACCAAAGGGCUCCAGUGAAAGAAGGCACCAAAUUUGCCUGCAAAAUGUUAUUUCCUGCACUGGUCUAAUUCAGAUCAUGUGGCUGACAUGCAAUUUCUAUUUGACUGAAAGCACCACAUUAAAUUAUUCCAGGCAGAUGUUGUGCACUGAAAGCAGUCGAUAACAUCACAGGGCAAUUCAGAAAGGCCCUGUGCAGCCAGAGACUCCUUGCAGCCUGGAACAUGGGUGCUUGAAAGAUGCUGGUGCAAUUGCUUUGAUGUGCAAAGAAAUAUGAACAGUGGCUCAAGCUUAGUACAUCUUCUGCUAUCCAUGCAGAAUUAUCUGCAUGCCAGAAGGGGAUGCUUUGUUUUGGCAAGGUCUAUUGAAAUGUUCGUACUACUUACUUAGCAUAUGCCAGGGAUGGCAACUUCAAGAAGUCCAGGGCAGCACUUAAGCAGAGUAGAAGUGGAUGGCAUCACUUGAGACUGACUGAAAAAAUCAUGAUUGCCUGUGUAUACUUUUCAAAACACAUUUAUUAUAGGAAUUUCUGCAUUUUUCCAAGCCAGAAUGGAGGUGCUAAAUGACAGUGAAGUUUCAAAAGGAACAGCCAAAUUUGUCCUUGAAAUCGUAAUGCUUUGGCCUGGGCACACAGAAUUGGACUCACAGGUCUGCCCAGAAUGCCCUGCAGUGAAAUGGAGCAGGAAUCCCACCUGCAGGGCAUGCAGGAGCCCUCCUGCCUGCCAGCCCCUGGCCAAGUACCAAGUGUCCCCACAGGGCUCUGCACCUGCCCUCCACUCCGAGGCUAUUGGAGGGGUGUGUGACUGGGAGAGCUGUUUUGUGAACAGAUAGGAUAAAAAUAACACCAACUCUUCUUGCUCUCCUAUUCACCACAUGCAGUCACAUAUAUGAAGGGCUUCUUCCACAGAGAUGCAUAAGCAGGAAAUUGUGGCUUACCAGAAGGUAGAAGACACAAGGUUAUAAAGCACUGGUAGAGUUUGUCAGACAUUUAUAUAGGCAGAGUUCCCAUAGCACAUGAGAGAAAGAUCCGCUCAUCCAUGCACCGGCUUCAGGACGGGCUGCAGGAUUGCUCUGUGUGCAUCCCCUGCAUUCGGAGGGCCCCUUCUGACCUCCACAUCCACCACUUGGCUCUCUCCACGGGUCAGAGCUGUGAUAGGAAGAAGGUGGGCAGGCUCAAUCCAGUAUCACAAAGCAAAAAGGGGUUUAUUUUAGCAUAUAAAUAUUCUUACUUUGAGUAAGAUGUGAAUACUAAAGAUAAAAAUUGUAACGUAGGAACAAAAACCCCUUCUGGAUCUUCCUGUUUCCGGUACUAAGAGUCGGUGGUUGUUCUCCAUCCUGGUAGUAGUGGAGCUGCUUCUGUUUAUUCCAUCGGUAGAUACUGGGUUAAAAGCAGAUCAAUUCCAGCCACACCGGGGGAAACAUUCAAUUCCUUCCAUCUUGUUUCGGUAUCAGGUGAAGACACUGCACUGGCUAAAUGAGGAAACAGUCUGCGGCUUCGUACGCAGGGCCAGUCUCAGAAAUCAAAGGCAUCAAAGCAGAAAGUCCUGAACCAAACCACUCCAAAAGCAGCGGCCUGCAAGGCAGCCCUGAGCAGCACGGGUUUCUUUGCUCCCAGCCCAUCCAUAGCUGACAGAAGGGUGCCUUUCUUGUGCCCUUUACCUCCCUUACCUAGUCACACAGCCGCUGGGACCAGGAUUGGCUUUUAGGGCUUGCUUACACAGAGCAGUUGACUAUUCUGCAAUAGCUGCUGCAGGAUGACUUCAUGUGAACGCGCUCAUUCCGCAGCGGCUGUUGGAGCUCCUGAUUCAUACCAUACCUUAACUGGAGUCGCGUCAGCAAGUCAGCGUGCAUUACAAAGUUAAGCAAGACCUGGGACCCAGUCUGGGGUUUCUAGUCACUUCUCCUUUACAUAGAAUUCAGCUCUAACAGAAGCAGUUGAAAUGUUCCUGAGAAUGACAAAUAACAAAUGAGUAAUGCUUGCUCCAGAGCCACGUAGCCCAAUUAAAAAUAGGUAAGUGAUGUGCAAAGGCAAGUCUGUGCAGUCCGGGGAGAGAGAAGGGAAAAAAAGAAAAAUAGGCAUGCAUUUCUAAUCUGUUGGCACAGCCACGUGAAGCAGAAUUCAUUGAUAAACAUACCAAUUAAUUGGUACACAAAGCCCUUUCAAAAAGGUAAUGACUAAAGCAACCAGACGCUGGGAAAAGGACAGUUACUGUUGUGGAGCCAGCUUAAUUUGGUUAUCCAUCUCCCUUGGUAGAGUUAUUAAAGGGGGAAAAGCUUUGAACACUGUUGUAGGGUUCAGUGAAAAUAAAAACGCAACACAUACAAGCUCUCAGAAAUGCAAACAAGGUGUUAGAAUGCAUGAUGGAGGAUAAUUGAAUAUUACAGUUCUGUUUAACAAAUUGCUUCUCUUUGUGCAAUUACUGCAUCUCCGUCUGCCCUAAGCAGGAAUGGAGCUCAGAAUGAGGCGAUGGGGAUGAGCAGAGAGCUGCGACGACUGAGAGCAGUUCAGCAGGAAGAGGAGGAAAGCAGGGAGUUAGCAAGGAGAGGGCAGUUCCCAGCGUAAUGAAAGGCAUUAAGUCUAAAACCACCAACGCUUUCCCAAACAUGAAAAUUGAAUACUGAGAGAGAAAAGAAAAAAAAAAAAAAAGGAAGAAAUGCAGAUGCAAUAAUGUAAGAAGCUAGCACACAUCACUGUCCUGGAAUCUGAGAAAACAAGCUUUUUAAAUACUUCUGACUGAAAGCAUUUAUGGCAGCGCAGCCCUGGGAUGUUAGAGGAAAGGACAUGAGCAGGAGCAUUGCAGGAUGGAGCCCUUCUGUCGGCAGGCACACAGCUGUGCAGGACAGGGGCGCAGUGACAGGCAGGAGCUGCCCAGGGGGGCAGUCGGUGCUCCCUGCUGCCCAGCACGCUGGUGAUGCUGCACGGCCACCUUCCCACAUCCCGUGACUGUCCUGCAACCAGUGGAGUAAUUUCUAAUGCUAAGUAAAGGACCGGUGGCUCGGGGUGCACCCCCCCUGCUCCCCAACACCUUGCUCUUAACCAGCCACGCUCCUGCUGGAGUGCUGCGGUCAGGGGUCGUGUCUCCAGGGUUGGUUUGAGAACGUCUCUGGCUGCAUUUUGAUGUGAUAGCCAGAAAUGAGAGACAGAUACAAGAGGGAGGGAAAGUGCUUGGUUUCUUUCAUUUCUCUCACUUUGCCUUCCAGUUCUCAUGCCCUGAGAUUCAUGCAACAGUGCACUCUCCAUACCACAAUUAACAGUGAAUCUUUUCCAAUCCACUCUGACAGAAACUCCUCCCCCAGCCUGUAACACCACUCCAGCUUGCAAGCAAGCCUUCCCAAAGGCAGACCUGCCCUACCGUGCUCGCCCUGCGCCCAGCACUCGUGCUUACCUUCCAGGCCUCCCUGUGCCGGAGGUCACAGUUGACCAUUGCAAGAACAAUAAGGAUUUUUAGGGGCAUUAUGACUGGGUUAGUAAAACACAGCUGCCCCUGAAAGUCCCUCAUUUUUCUUGCUGCCGCUCAGUCCCCUCCACGUCCCUAGGAGGGCAGAGGUCUGAUGGGCUCCUUUCGCUCCAGCACGGCUCUGCCACCUCAUGCUGGCUUUGCUGAUCUGCCAGCAGCAGCCCAGCCGUGCUGACCGGCCGUGACACAGGCAGUGGAGGUGCAGAACUGCUUUGUCAUCGCUGCAGGCUCCCUCCUAAGCAAACGCUGCGCUGCACUUCAGCGUAACGCCAGAUGGCUCGUCUGUCACUCGGCAGAAAUGCCAUCAGGCAAAGCACACCUCACCGUAAGCAACCCUCAAAUGCCCCCCAAAUCACCAGGGCAAAAUGAAGCAAUGGCCUGUCCUGCCAGCACUCAGUGCACCGCACUUUGCCCAUUAAACACAGGGAUCCCAGCGCCGGUGAGCACCUGCUGUGUGUGCACUGUGACGCAGCCCCGCGGCGGUGGGAGGGGGUCACAGCGCCCGCCCAGCUGCACGAGCAGUUGUUCUUGAUUUAUUAAUAAAGCUGAGGGUUCAAUUAGGUAAUUGCCACUGAUUUCUCAACCACUUUCAGUUUAUGAGAUUUUUAAGAGCUAUAUUUUUCCUACUAAAAAGGUGCCAAGUGGUUGGCUGGGAAUUUUCAACCUCAUUUACAAAUCCUCUUGGAAUUCCCAGCCCAACCCAGCAUGUUCAUAGGGCAAGGAGCAGCACUUUUCUUUUAACUCCUUGGUAAUUUGAAUGUUGAUGGCAGUGGACUCAACAAAAUCCAUAGGCAGAUUCCCAUGGGUGCUCCUGCCCUGCUGUUUCCCUGAGCUCACUGUGGGGUGCUGGAUGGGCACACCAGCCCCAUGCAUGCUGUGGGAAGCCCCGUGGGCUGGGCAAGCACUCUGCCCUUGAGGACAGAGCUCUGGGAGCUGCUCCGGGGCUCCCGGGGCCUUUGGAGCAGAGCAGGGAACCACUGAGGACUCGCAGCGCUAUUUUUUUUCUCCCCCUCUUGCAUUAAAAAUGCCCUGCCCCUCAACGAAGGACCCAUUCCCAGCAGUUACAGGUUAGGACAAACACGACACUGUCUCCAUAACCCACAAAGUGUGCUACGAGCAGCCAUCUCACACAGCUGGGGUGCCCCUGUCCAGGGCAGGCCCAGGCGCUCUGCAGGGCUCACUUGCGCUGUGUUACAUCCAGCCUCAGAACAAUGGGGCUGAGCUGCAGAGCUGCGCCGUGUUUGGAGUUGCUGCCGUUCAAACAUGCCAUCUCCAGGGACACGGACGGGGCCGGCGCAGCUGUUCUGCAUGCAAUGGGAAUGCUGAGGUUCGGGCAGCCCAAGGUCCCGGCCACGUGCAGCACAAGAUGAAUAUCCUCACCUGUCUCACCAGCGAAUGAUGCUCCAUGGCAGCAGCCAGCCUGGCACACAGCAAAUGCCUCAGCCCCUCUCAUUGCUGUACGAAGCCACACCUAAUUUUCAUUUAGAAUUUCUUCUAACGCUGGGAAGUUAAAUGAAAGCAACCAUUAUGCCCUGAUUUGGUAAUAAAACAUGAGCUGUGAUUCUGAUCCAAACAUUAUUUGCAUCUUUAAAAAAAUAAAAAUGUAACAGCAGUAUCUUAAUAAAAAAAAAAAGGAGGAGCCCCCUGAAUGCUGAUGACGUUGGUGUCCUAAAUGAAGCAUAAAAGCCAGAUCCUGUGAGAUGCAAAGCAUGAGUCAGAGUGUCAGCAGCCCCACACUGCAAGCAGCGCUGCUGCUUCAUUCGUUUAAGGAAUCAAUUCCUUUGCCAUGAGCACCAAGUAGUUUCUACGACUAAAAUUAAAAUGAGAUGCAUGCCGUUAUUAUUUUCAAAAGGUUCUUUUUCUUUUUUCCUCUUGGAAUGACAACAAACAGCUCUCUGUAGUUGGAAGGAACCCCAGGUAAGGACCAGGUCCCCGCAGCACUGCUGUUGCGCUGACUCAGAAGACAACCCGGUGAGACCCUGCAGGGAACCUCCCCAGCAGCACAAGCAGAUGGAGCUCACCAGGGCAGAGCACAGCAGGCAGGUGGACUCACCGCAGAUUUCAGCCCGGUUAGGCUCUCUCACCCUGAUUUUGUUUUACUUGCACUGGGUAGCUGGCAGACUCCUGCAGGAUGGAUGUGUCCCGCCCUGGGGAACCCCCCUUUGUGGAGGGUUUACGUGUUCCUUCUUGAGCUGGAAAAGCAGCACACGGCUCCGUGUGCCACACAGGGACGUGCUGCUCCUGCUGCCACAGGAGCACGGCCAGACUUCAGCAUCAGAGCACGAGUCCCUGGGUUACAGUGAGGUCAGGGGGAGGAUUUGGGACUGACGGCUUUUUGGCCUGUUAGAUUUGAAAUUCAUAAAGCACGAGAACAGCACAGAAAGAAACCAAAGGUAGGAAGCGAAUGCAGUUUCUAAAAUUCCUCCAGCUUUAGUCAUUGAAGAGGAUUGUUAGAAACGCACAAAGGGCCGUUUCCCUCAAUUUUUUCAGUGUGAAUUUCAUCUUGACAGUUUCAUUUCAGAAACAAAAAUUGAAAACAAAUUGUGCUAUACACAAAACAAAGGGGCAGAUCCUCAUCUGGAAUAGACUGGUAUUACCAAAUGAGUAACACCCGCUCACAGCAGAGGCUCUGGCCCUUGUGACAGCGGCUGCCUGCUGCCAUCCUGCUCUGCCCAGCCAACAGCCUCAGCCUCUGGUUUCAGCUGGCCGCAGAGCUGACUCCAGGUAGCCUGCUGGAGACAAAGAGCUGCCUUCAGAGCUGCUGAGUGUGCACAGUGCUUCAGGGACCCCGUGUGCACCCUGCUCUCCAGAAGUGGGGCUGUUUCCAGGUGGGCGAGCCAGAGGAUGCAGCACCGAGAAAGCAGCCGAUGCCAGCAGGGCCCUGAAAGUAAUGAGCUGCUGUGGAGAAAUACUGGCAAAGCAGGCUUCCAGAAUCCAGUUAUUUAUGGGAUUUACUCUCUGAAAAGAAGCAUUUCUCAGAUUUUUCUUUCAAAACCAACACUGGGCUGAUCAUCAUCUUGAAAAUUAGCAGAGGUCCCCAAGAAAAUAUUAACUGCAGCGCAAGACAACGAAUGCAUGCCUGAAUGUGGUCUGAUCUAUGCCAAACAAGACCUGCCCCAAGAGAGACUGGCACAGCACAACUGUGCCUGGCAUUUGGGAAAUCCCUUCAGCCACAAAUGAGUUACUAAUAGGGCAUAAUUAGCUUUGGGUCCUGCCACCACAGUCUCACUCUGAUCGGGCUGUCCUUUGUGCAAGCCCAAGCGUGCUCUAGAAGUCACCACGCCAGCUGGGUUCAUUGCUUCUCUCACCCGAAAGGAAACAAAAUUACACACAUUGGUUAAAUUCAGGAAGCUUCUCACUUUGCCAGUUAUCAGAAGACAUACUGACUGCUGCUGUCCUCAGUGGCAGCCCGGCUUCCAAGCAGAACAUCAGGCUCUCUGUCCUCAUUGUGCUGAGACACUCAAACGAACACACAGCCGUGCACUGGUGGAGGAGCACCCAUCUCCCAGGGCUGACAAGGGGUGGUUUUGGCCAUGGGCAUUUUACAAUUCAUUUCCUUUGAAUUCUUUUGUUUGGAGCAUCAUUUCUCAGCUCUUACACCUCUGCCACCAUCAGCAAGAGCUGGGAAGCCAGAGUUAUUUUUAGGGGAUGGUACAUUUAGGCCCUGUUAAUCUUGACUGGUCCCUUUGAAAAUGACAACGUUGGAUAAUCAAACACAUUACACAGAGUUUCCAUGGAGCCUGCUUGGAAAACUACCCUCCCACCUUUCAGCAAUGGAGGGGCCAAUAGUUCAGAUAGCAGCAUUUAAUACUGCGUCGACUUUCCUCAUUACCGUGACCUCCCUAGCAUUUAUAUGCAGAGACCUCCCAGAAGAAGGAAAUUAUGGCACCUGACUUUAAGUAUAUAAAAUAGAACAAUUAGUCAUCAAAAUGUCUUCUAGAAGCUCCAUAUUAUACCCAUCCCAAGCAGCAAAAGACCAUUAUCCAGCUCAGCCUGGCACAGAAGAGGAUGACAGCAAUGCCUGGUCAAAUGGUGUGGUCAAACAAACAUGUUGGCAAAACAAUCCCAGAGCAACGGGGAAGGAGCUGCUGGUGUGAAGGCGAAUGCAUUAAAGUGGUUGGCACAAGGAAAGGGACGGGAAGGGAGAAUGCUAGGAAAAAACUCCAGGGGAGGAGCUCUGGCUAAAAGAGGCUACAUGACUGCUAGUAAAUUAAACAGUGCAGGGACCAGCCAGUCUGCAAUCACCUAGCCACCAACACAGGGCAGCCGCAUCCAAACAGCCUGUUAGUAAUGGUCCCUGGCCCACACAGACUUUCACAUCAUAUCCAGGGCUGGCUGGAAAAGUCCCAGGCCAAAGCUCUGCCCAGGACCACACCAAGCACACGGCCAUCAGCUUUGCAGUGGCCCACGGGUACAGCCACGCAGCACAGCAGCGCAGGCGUCUCAUUGCAGCACUGCACACAUACCUGCUGGGUCCCAGCUGAGGGCAUCACUGCAGAUCUGCACCUGGACUGAUCAUCUACAGGAGAGGCAGAGGUGUGCUGUGGUCAUCAACCCACCAGCACUGCCUCCAAUUCGGAAUCUACCUGCACUCUGACCAGUAAGUUAGGAGAGAAGCAGCCAGGCAAGCUUGGCUUUGUUGGAGCAGAAUCAAGUCUGGCUGGUAUUAAGGAAAGCAAAGCGUUACAGGAGAACAGCAGGAAAUUGCUAAGAGAAAGGGAUUUUUAAAUAACUUCAUUUUAAACAAAACUAGGGAAUUACCAUAAAAUAAAUGGCCACACCUUGCUACUCACACUGUUCUGCCAACAAGACUAGCUUUUCCAUAGCUAUUCAAAUAUGAGACCUGGGUGCCUAACCAGCUCUCUCAAGCUGGUUUCCAAACUCCAGCCAAAAAUCACUUUCUGAUUCACCACUUUCUCAGGCACACCAGUAUGCAGAGUACGCCUGCAGGCUGGUACUGUGCUGUACAAAGCACUUAAGCACACAUUUAAUUACACCGUGGACCAGGGAUGUGAUUAAUCAUAUGCUUGAAGUUAAGCAUGUGCUUAAGCAUGCUACUGACCUGGAGCUUGAAGUAGAUCUAACUGCUACUGUACUGCUCCCCAUUUUCCAGUUCUUUGAGGCUCAAUAAUUGGAAAGGUUGUAAGAACAUCCCUGUGGUUGUGCACUCCUAAGACUUCAUCCAAACUCUGGUUUCAGACUUUUUUUUUAAUGGCAAUUUUUGGAAUUAAACUGCAUUCUCCCCACGCCCUCCCCAGCACCAAUUAUGGGCAUGACAGCAGUAUGGAUAUUAUUUAUCAGCAUUAAAACAUGAUGCAGUUAUUAUCAUUCACAAACAUUUUCAUUCAGUUGGGCUGGAUGAUCUUGGUGAUCUUUUCCAACCAUACUGAAUCUAUAAUAUUUUAUGCCUGAGGAGUGUACAAAGUUCUCAAAAGAAAUAUGAAGCACAUCACUGCUAGCAGCACUCAUCUCAUGGAAGAACUCAACCAUAAAACACACAUCAGCUAUGGGUGGCCACGUAAACUCACAUUUCAUUAGCUGCAAUGUACGCCAUCCCGGCCAUUUUUCUCACUGCACCACCUGUCCACCUUCUGAGCAAAGCCUUAUUCCUACUUCAUCACAAUUUCAGGGAGCUCAGACUGUCUCCGGUCGCCAGGGAGGAGCAAGCAGAGGAGCAGGGGAGCAGACAGCUCCUCUUCCUAAGGCACAGCUGAGAGCCUCCUCAGUGACAGAGGAAACCACUGCACAGGGACAUGGAGGGAUGGACCAGAGCUGCAUCCUGAGGCAGGCGUGUGAGUGCCAGCUGGAGCGGCCCUGCAUCAGGGAGCACUGUGCCCACGUUCACCCCAUAAAACCAUCUAACACUGACCAGCCAGGAGAUUGCAAUGAAAGCACAGCACGUGCAAAUCCAUUUCCAAUCAGCAAUGGAGAGCAGAGGAGGUUUGAUUACAAAAGAAGAGGCACUGGUCUCUAAAGGAGGUCUCCUUUGAGAAGGAGAAUAGUCCAACCCUGUGUUUGCAGAAGCCUCCUUAGAGCAGUUACGGGACCUUCCUCCUCAUUUGCUAUGUUCCUUUAUUUCAGCUGGACAGAACUUGGCAACAGGAAGCUGAGCUCGUGUUCGUAACAUCACUGAUGUUUUAGAGAACAGGUUAAAGAAACCCAAAUUCACUUGUCACAGACCUGUAAGUCACAGCAACAUCCAGAAAAGCACAACUGCACCACUCGGUGCCUGCUGAGUGCUGCCAGCACACCUUGUCGGAGGAGCAGCUUCAUAAACACAAUUUUUAGGGUCCUUUCCAUGGACAGCCUGAGGUUGGUAUUUUCCCUUAGGCCCCACAGACUGAGGGACGUUGCAUAUUGCAAGCAGGGGCACCAGGACCAGCUGGCAGCAAAGUGCUGAGUGUGGAAACCCUCUGCCUCCCACUGACCACCCCCUGCUGCUCCUCAUUAGCUGCCAGCUCAGACACCAUGGCGGUGUACUCAUUUUUAUUUUCAGCUCUUUUCCUGCCUGGCCGUCAGCUCAGCAGUGCUGCUUACACUCAAAGCUGUGCCUAGAAUAGUGAAGUUGAGGGGAAUUUCACCUAAAAAACCCCCAAGUAUUUGGCCAUCCCUUCAUUGAUCAGAAGUCAUUGUGGUGGGAGAUCAUUUCUGGAAGCCGAAUUGGGAUAUAUUCCAUUUCUUUCAUCCAAACUAAGGUACUCCCUUCCACAUGUAGGUUUACUCAAGGAGAAGACGAUGGAGCAGAGGAAGAGCGUAUCACUGCCCUGCAGCAGUCUGUGCAGCACCAACUACGGCUGCAGCCAACCUCCAUGCCCUGCACAGCCCACCGUGCUCACAGCAGCCUUGCUGUAUGUAUUUUUAAGCACUCAAACCUGUGCUUGCUGCUUGCAUGCAACCGCUCAUAACUCAGCAGUGGUGUCUAACAAGGUUGGCUAGCUAGUUACAGCAUAUUUCUAUUUGGAAAAUGCACUUUGAAGUUCAAAAAGGGGUAAAGUUCAACAAGUUGCAGACUUUGCAAAGGCUCCUUUCUGAACGCACUGCUGUGAAGCGAUGAAAGCUCUCACGGCUGCUCAUCCACAAUCACUGCCAGCCCCCGAACUGACAGCACGGGGCAAACCCUGCCGGGGCACCCACAGCUCCCCGGAGAUGUUUCAGGGCAUAACUGCUGUGUCAAUGGAGCUCUGUGCUCUCAUCCUGCGACACAACCAACCUCCAAUCCCAAUUUAUAUUAUAGGCUUAAAUUCCUAUCAGAUGCUUUGAAACAAAACCGCAGUUUGUGGGUUUGUUUUUUAAGGCAGUAAUGUCUUAAACUAUAAAGACAUCCAAAACUUUAUGUAACGACCAUUACAUAACACCUCAAACUGGCUCUUAAGCAUUUUCCUUACUCUUUGGAGUUCUUACACUUUUAUUUGGGGCAUGUGAGACAACGAGUUAUACAAGUGCAGUUACUCACAUGGGCCGUGUUUGGAGGGAGCGACGGAGAAGAGCUCUCUGCAGUGGAAAUCUUAAAGGGAGAAGCUUCUUUCUAUGUAAAUAAGUUUGCAAGACACAGAAAAAGCAUUCUCUCGUUGAGUUUCACUGCUCUUAAUGAUCAGUUACAGAAACUGAGAACCCAGGAAGCAGGGCAGAGAUAGUGCUAGCUUUAAAGUCUGAAUGCAUGCAGAGCCUCCAAUGGCACACAGCAUGAAUGUCAUAAAUGUGUGUGAAUGUUCUCAUUCAGGCUGUGAUUUACUCCCCAAGGAGAUGCACAGCUAGCUGAAAUAUGCUACAUGCAAACCAAACCCUUCCAAUGAAGUGAGUGCAGUAUGUGAAUCCUGGAGCUAAAUUUAACACAGCUCUCAUCUCAGCAGAGCUCCCAGCAUUGCAGCUAACGCUGCAGCUCACACGGGCAGAGCUGUGCCGGAGUUCUGCUCCUUCGGUCCACUGCUCUGGAUGAUGUUCCUGAAGCUCCUCACUAACUCAGAUUUAAGAAAUUCAGGGUGAUUUAUUCAGCUGAAUUUUGU